rnacentral:rRNA from 1 species
GCGGCCUAUCAGGUAGUUGGUGAGGUAACGGCUCACCAAGCCGACGACGGGUAGGGGGCGUGAGAGCGUGGCCCCCCACACGGGAACUGAGACACGGUCCCGACGCCUACGGGCGGCAGCAGUGAGGAAUCUUGCCCAAUGGGGGAAACCCUGAGGCAGCGACACCGCGUGCGGGAUGAAGGCCUUCGGGUCGUAAACCGCUUUUCUGGGGGACGAGUAAGGACGGUACCUCAGGAAUAAGUCUCGGCUAACUACGUGCCAGCAGCCGCGGUAAAACGUAGGAGGCGAGCGUUAUCCGGAUUUACUGGGCGUAAAGCGCGCGCAGGUGGCUUCGUGAGUCGGACAUGAAAGCUCCUGGCUUAACUGGGAGAGGCUGUUCGAUACUGCGGGGCUUGAGGUUGGGAGAGGGACGCGGAAUUCCCGGUGUAGUGGUGGAAUGCGUAGAUAUCGGGAGGAACACCAGUGGCGCAAGCGGCGUCCUGGCCCACACCUGACGCUGAGGUGCGAAAGCGUGGGUAGCAAACAGGAUUAGAUACCCUGGUAGUCCACGCUGUAAACGAUGUCAACUGGGUGUCGGUAGUUUUACACUAUCGGUGCCGAAGCUAACGCG